UAAUUAAAAUAUAGAUCUCGGAUUUCGUUAUACUACGUUAUACUACAUACGAAGAUCUAACAAGUACCCUACAAGGUUUCACUUUUGUGACCUUAUAUAACGUAAUAUUUGACCCCAGAAAGUAUUUAUAUCGACCAAUCAGAAUGCUCCUUAUAAACGCGACCUAGGAACAUGUUGAAGAUGGCGACGUAGAAAUGGAAAAACAGGCCUACCUAACUUCCGGAUAGACGCCAUAUUGGAAAAAACCGGUCAUAGUCAAAGAGUCAAUGGAAAUACAUGGAAUCCAACAUCCUAGCUGCUUUUGCAAUUUUUCAUACAGACUGUGAAAACAGUUACUAUAGAGUAUAGUGUUCUUUAAAACGUUGUACAUGUUGUAGUGUUGUAACGAAUUACUUUUCAUCAACUAUAUGUACAAAAAUGAAUGAAGAAGGUUAGGAUGGAAAACUGGUGAAGAUGAAGGUUACAAUUGUGAUCUACAUAUUGAUUAGUUUGAAGCAGAUUUUGUUCUAAAGAGGGAAAUAAAUAAACAGUGUGUUUUAUAAAGAUGUUCAAUUAUUUACACAACAACAAAAAUAAUCAUUGUAUGAGAGAUAAAUGGAUAUAAGUGUAAAUAAAGACACUUUAUUUUCUU